CUAAAAGAAUGGCGACCGGGGCACGGGUGAGUAACACGUAUCCAACCUGCCGAUAACUCGGGGAUAGCCUUUCGAAAGAAAGAUUAAUAUCCGAUGGUAUAUUUUCUCCGCAUGGUGAGAAUAUUAAAGAAUUUCGGUUAUCGAUGGGGAUGCGUUCCAUUAGUUUGUUGGCGGGGUAACGGCCCACCAAGACCACGAUGGAUAGGGGUUCUGAGAGGAAGGUCCCCCACAUUGGAACUGAGACACGGUCCAA
rnacentral:rRNA from 1 species